CAAGAACUUCCCCUGGAGCUGGAACAGCGCUGUGGGCAGGCAAAACCGUCCCUGGCUGAGCCCAGAGCACCUGCCUGGCUUCCUCCCAGCCCUUGGAUGUGCCUCCUAGUUCCAGCGCCACUUCCCACCUCCUCAGGGAGCUGGGCCUCUGGCGUCUGACUGUGACUAGUGGUCCUGUUCUACUUUUUUCUUCUUCAUUUUCUGUCGACAUCUGAGCUGUCACACUCACCCCCUGCUUCUAGGGCACCUUCUCUCAUCUCCUAUUCUUAUCCCAAAGUAAUAUUUUUUUCCUCUGUGUCCUCUAAUAUGUGACUGGGGUCAACCUCGCAGCGUGAUCGCUUUCUGCCCUGCAUGACAGUCAUCUAGGCACUGGACCGGCCUCCCGCGCUGGACCGUAGCUCGUGGAGGGUGAGGCCUUGCCCAUUUGCACGUUCUUCAAGUGCAGACGCUGUGCCCGGGCCCCAUGCCCACGUGGAACAGGCUAAAUGCACUUCCAAAUUCAAAGUUGAUUAGACACGCUACAUGUUAACGCCUGAUUUAAUUGCGGAUGUGCAGACACGCAGAGGCAGCCAGCCUCCCCCCAGCUCUCCUUGGCAGAAUCCAGCCUGAGCACAGCUGUCAGGACAGCUGGCCUCCGUCCCACAGGGCCAAGCACAUGGCUUCCCACAGUGUCUGUUCCCAUCUCAGGGCCAGUGGGAUUCUGUCUUGAUCUCCAGGACUUUCCCUACAGAGCCUCCUGGCCUCUUGCAGCCCGGGAGCCUGGAGUUAGCUCCUGCCCAGCACAAGGUGGCUAAGCGUGGUUGGGAUCCCCAACCCUGAAGGUGGGGCCAUGUGGGGUUCCUGUGAAUGGCCUGCUAUCAGAAGCCUCCACCCUCAGAUCACGUGCGGGGCCUCUGGUGUGAAUGUGCCGAGGCAGGAGCCCAGGUACCCUGGCACAGAAGAGCCAUCACUUCAUCUGUCCCUGUGCCUGCGGCCACCCUGCUCACACUACACGUGCCCCUCACCCUCGGUGGGCGGCUCC
ensembl:lncRNA